ACGCACGCUGGCGGCAUGCCUAACACAUGCAAGUCGAACGAGACCUUCGGGUCUAGUGGCGCCCGGGUGCGUAACGCGUGGGAACCUGCCCUUAGGUUCGGAAUAACUCCCCGAAAGGGGUGCUAAUACCGGAUAAUGUCUUCGGACCAAAGAUUUAUCGCCUUUGGAUGGGCCCGCGUUGGAUUAGCUAGUUGGUAGGGUAAAAGCCUACCAAGGCGACGAUCCAUAGCUGGUCUGAGAGGAUGAUCAGCCACACUGGGACUGAGACACGGCCCAGACUCCUACGGGAGGCAGCAGUGGGGAAUAUUGGACAAUGGGCGAAAGCCUGAUCCAGCAAUGCCGCGUGAGUGAUGAAGGCCUUAGGGUUGUAAAGCUCUUUUACCCGGGAUGAUAAUGACAGUACCGGGAGAAUAAGCUCCGGCUAACUCCGUG
rnacentral:rRNA from 1 species